AGCAUCGCCAUGCUGGAUAAGACCAAGGAAUUCUUCCAGACCUGCGAUGUGGAGGGCAAAGGCUUCAUUACACGCAGCGAUAUGAGGAGGCUUCACAGAGAACUACCCCUCACUGCUGAAGAACUGGGAAUGUCUUUGACUCCCUAGAUACCGACCAGAACGGCUACCUCACCCUCGAAGUGUUCUCAUCAGGAUUCAGUCAGUUCCUGCACGGCCGGAGGAUCUCUGUAGCCGAGGACGCAGC